GACGAACGCUGGCGGCGUGCCUAAUACAUGCAAGUCGAACGGAGGGGGGACGGGGGAGUAACACGUGGGUAACCUCCCAUCAGAGGGGAUAACACUUGGAAACAGGUGCUAAACCGAUACUGAUGGAUGGACCCGCGGGGCAUUAGCUAGUUGGUGAGGUAACGGUCCACCAAGGCCACGAUGCAUAGCCGACCGGAGAGGGUGAUCGGCCACACUGGGGCUGAGACACGGCCCAGACUCCUACGGGAGGCAGCAGUAGGGAAUCUUCGGCAAUGGACGAAAGUCUGACCGAGCAACGCCGCGUGAGUGAAGAAGGUUUUCGGAGCGUAAAGCUCUGUUGUUAGAGAAGCGGUAUCUAACCAGAAAGCCACGGCUAACUACGUGCUAGCAGCCGCGGUAAUAC
rnacentral:rRNA from 1 species